rnacentral:rRNA from 1 species
AAAGGAAUUGACGGGGACCCGCACAAGCAGCGGAGCGUGUUGUUUAAUUCGAAGAUACUCGAAGAACCUUACCAAGACUUGACAUCGUCUGACAAGCGUAGAAAUACGUUCUCCCUAGCAAUAGGGCAGAUAGACAGGUGGUGCAUGGUUGUCGUCAGCUCGUGUCGUGAGAUGUUGGGUUAAGUCCCGCAACGAGCGCAACCCUUACGGUUAGUUGCCAAUAUUAAGUUAGGAACUCUGACCGGACUGCCGUGGAUAUAACACGGAGGAAGGCGGGGAUGACGUCAAAUCAUCAUGCCCCUUACGUCUUGGGCUACAAACGCGCUACAAUGGCCGUUACAAAGAGCAGCGAAGUUGCAAAACGGAGCGAAUCUCAAAAAAGCGGUCUCAGUUCAGAUUGUGGGCUGAAACCCGCCCACAUGAAGGUGGAGUUGCUAGUAAUCACGAAUCAGCAUGUCGUGGUGAAUGCGUUCCCGGGUCUUGUACACACCGCCCGU